GUUCAAAGUUUCAGUUUUGAUUCUUUUCUCAUUUCUCUUCACAGCCUCUGCUGUUCGCCCAGCUCCUCCUCUUGAAGGAUUACUUCCAAAUGGUAAUUUUGAAGAGCUACCAAAGGCAAAAGACCUCAAGAAGAAAACAGUGCUUCAAGGUAAAUAUGCUUUGCCCAAAUGGGAGAUUAAUGGCUUAGUGGAGUAUAUUUCUGGCGGGCCUCAGCCCGGUGGGAUGUACUUCGCAGUCGCCCACGGUGUCCACGCUGUGAGGCUUGGGAAUGAGGCUUCAAUUUCUCAGACAAUUCCAGUCAAGAAAGGCUCUUUGUAUGCACUUACUUUUGGGGCAUCAAGAACUUGUGCUCAAGAAGAGGUGUUGAGGGUGUCAGUGCCUCCUCAAACAGGAGACCUUCCUUUGCAGACCCUUUAUAGCAGCAAUGGUGGUGAUACUUAUGCUUGGGGUUUCUACGCCACCUCUAAUGUUGUUAAAAUUACCUUUCAUAAUCCUGGAGUUCAAGAGGAUCCUGCUUGUGGUCCACUCUUGGAUGCUGUUGCUAUCAAAGAACUUUUUCCACCUCGCCCUACAAGAGUGAACUUG
rnacentral:misc_RNA from 1 species